CAUGAGAUACUUUAUAAAAAGAUUAGGUCUUUUAAACCUAAAAUAGUAGCAUCUACUUCUUAUGG
rnacentral:tRNA from 1 species